ACAGAAAUAGAAUCUUGGAUAGAUCAAGAAGACUGUCAUUCAGUCAGUCAUACUGUUGAUUUUGAAAGUCAUUCAAAUGAUGCUUCACUAAAAUAUAAGCAGCUUUCAUCGAUGACGAAGUAAUGAACACUGCUGCCGUCGGCAACAAAUUACGUUAUGAAUGUGAGUUGUGCAAUAAAAGAUUUUCAUGCCCAAGCAAUCUAGCAGCACAUACAAAUACACAUACUGGGGACAAACCUUAUGAAUGUGAUGUUUGCAAGAAGCGAUUUGCACACCCAAGCACCUUAGCUGGACAUAAAAGGAUACAUACAGGUACAGUAGCAAAGCCUUAUGAAUGUGAUAUUUGCAAGAAGAGAUGCCCAACUCCAAGCAAACUAGUAAUACAUAAAAAAUCACACGACAAACUUUAUGUGUGCGAUGUUUGCAAGAAACGAUUUUCACUUCCAAGUGGCUUAGCGACGCACAAACGAAUACGUCAAUGUGGAGACAAACCUUUUGAAUGUGAUGUCUGCAACAAACAGCUUUUGAAUGCAAAGAAUCUCGCAGUGCAUAAAAAUACACAUGACAAAUCUUAUGAAUGUGAAAUUUGCAACAAAAAAUUCUCACGUUCAAGCGACCUGGUUAGACAUAAGAGAACACAUACCGGAGAGAAGCCCUAUGAGUGUGAUGUUUGCAAAAAACGAUUUUCAGACUAUGCUAACUUGUCAGUGCAUAAACGAAUACACACUGGGGACAAACCUUAUGAAUGUGAUAUUUGCAAAUUGAGGUUUGUCCAGUCGUGCCACUUAGUCCGACAUAAAGUAACGCAUUCUGGGGAGAAGCGUUAUCAAUGUGAUGUUUGCAGCAAAGCAUUUUCCGUGCCUGUUGAGUUAGAGAGACACAAAAGAAGAAAACAUACUGGAGACAGACCACAUGAAUGCGAUGUUUGCAACAAAAGAUUUCUACAUCCAAGUGACGUAAUAGCACACAAGCGAAUACACACCGGGGAGAGACCGUAUGAAUGUGAUGUUUGCCAUAAACAAUUUUCAGUAUCCAGCAAUUUAGAAAGACAUAAAAGAGUGCAUAGUGGGGUUAAACCUCAUGAAUGUGAUGUGUGCAAGAAACGAUUUUCCCAAUCAAGCCACUUAGGGAGACAUAUAAAUGCAUCACAUAAGGGAUUUUCAAACCCAAGCAAGUUAGCUGGACAAUAUAAAUCAUAUGAAUGUGAUGUUUGCAACAAACGAUUUUCUGUUUCCAGUAAUUUGAAAACACACAAAAGGACACAUUCUGGAGACAAGCCAUAUGAAUGUGCCGUUUGUGGUAGAAAAUUUUCGCAAUCUGGCCACUUGGUUAGACAUACAAGAACACAUACCUGUGACAAACCUUAUGAAUGUGAUGUUUGCAAAAAACGUUUUUCAGACCAAGGUAACUUUGCCUUUCAUAAACAAAUGCAUACUGGAGACAAGCCCUAUCAGUGUGACACUUGCACGAAAAGAUUUUCAGACCCAAGUAACUUGAGAUCACAUAAAAUAACACAUACUGGUGCCAAACUGCAUGAAGGUGAUGUUUGCCAAAAAGGGGACUUGAAAAAGCAUAGCACAACUGCCACAACACAUAAUGGUGAGAAACCUUUUGAAUGCAGCAUUUGCAAGAAAACGUUUUCAAGAUCAAGCACCUUAGCAAGGCAUAAAGGAACUUCACGUACAUGCAAGGAGACAGACCAUGGGAGACCCAACCAAUGUGAUUUUGGUCAGGAUUUUGAGGAAACAGAGCCAGCUGAUAUGGGAUAUGUUUGUUCCUUGUGCAGUUGUGCAUUUGAUAAUCUUAUAAAGCUCCAAAAUCACAUGGAAACUCAUAGAAAUGUACAAACUGACAAAUGUGUUCUAUACAAAUGUGUUCUGACAAUGGACAUUGGAAAUGAAGAAUCCUCCAGAUUGCCAAAGUGCAAUGAAUCGGGGUCAGUGUAUGGCCAGGAAUGGGCAUAAUAUAUGAAUUUUCCCUUUCAUUCUAUUUAUUUAGUGGAAAUUUUAUUGUUAAAGUGGAAGUGAAGUCCGUUCUGCACAUCGGUUCUGCUCAUAAGUGAUAACAAUGUGAGGACCCUCUAAUUAAACAUUGCCCAAAUUUCGAAUGUUCCGAAUUUUUCUGAACAUAAACUGUAUUUCAUAUUCAUUUAGAAGCAUAGCGAACCAAAAUGGUGAGUACAUCAUAUUUUUAAAAUUACAGCAGUUCAAAAUGUAAACAAACCGUUUGUUUACAUACCGACUUGACUUCCACUUUAACGUUUUCUGGUUUAUUUUCUUACAGUGUUACAGUCAAACCGGAUGUUCGUUUCCACGGAAUAUUGCAACAUUGUUGGGAAUAUUGCAAUUUUGAUUGCGAGAUUGCUCUGAGCAAGUUGCAACUGACGUGAUCAAAUUACAAGUU